ensembl:lncRNA
UGGGCAGCCUGUGCCACCACCUCACCACUCUCUUGGUAAAGAACUUUAAAGGUCAUUAAAGGAAACUUAAGAGGUUCUUAAGGGAAACUUAAGGGAAUGUAAGUUCCCUUAGGGGAACUUCAAAGGGGCUGAAUUUUUGAGUGGUGAAUUGUUGAUAAUGGGUAUAGAGGAAUGACUGCAUUGUCCUACAUUAUGGGACUGAGAUGACACCGGAGCUUAAACAUCUCUUUUAGCCUUCACAGCAAACUGUUGGCUUUCAGCAGACACCUUAGCAAGCUUCUCCUUGCUGCAAAGCAUCUGCUGGCUUAUGAGUUUUAAGGAAAAAUCAAGCAACCUAGCUCAAGUGGUCUUCAGUGGUGAUACAGCCGUACCGCCAUGACUUUAUACUGGAAAUUUCCACCGACAGCUGCCAGCUCUAAAAUGGGAUCUAGCAGGCAGUAACUGAGGGUAGCAGAGCGCACCUAAGAUGCCUCUCAGAUGCAGAGGCCUCAGGUUCUGUCUAUGUGAGAACUCCACCACCUAUGGUAGAUACGCACCAUUGCCACGUCCUGCCACGGGCUGUUAUAUGGCCUGGCUGAGCACCACUUCUUCCCUCCUCCACACAUACCCCUCUCUGGCUUUGGCUUUCAUGGCUGAUAAAUUGUGACACACUCCAGCUGGUCUUCUGAGGUAGCCGAGCAGGGACCAUGACUGUAAGGAAUGCUUCUGGCCUUGCUUGGGAAUGCCUCCACUCCGCUGCAUUUUUCCUCUGUAUCAAGUGGACUUUGGACCAGUGUUUGGGAAACGCUACAUGAAGUGAUUUGUAAGGAUAUUCCACAACACACGAUGCUGCUGGGACUCCCACUGCCAACACUACAACUCUGUGAGAGCUGGACAUCUCAUUCUUUCACCUCCUGUCCCUUAACCAGUUAUUUCUCUGCCAGAGAACCCUACCAUUUAUACCGGGACUCUUUCAUUUCUUUAAGAGACGUUCACAAGAGGCCUUGUCUGAACUCUUUGAAAAUCCAGGUGCACCUAGGUUACCGUCACCCACCUCUCUUGUUUGCUGCAGCCACCACAGCUUUACAGGUUGCCUUCACGGUCCAGGCAAUGAUGUGAACAAGAGAUAUCAAAUGCUCAGGGAAACUCUUGGUUGGAACAAACUCCUUCCCUCAUCUCAGUAAUAUCCAGGCACGUCUUAGAAAAGUAUGAAUUAGCGAUAAGAAAGGAAAUUAAAAAUUGCCAUCUUGCUAUACACAAAGGAUGAAAAGCAAGACUUGGGAGUGAGAAAGCUUUCUUCUUACGGGAAUUGGAACUGAAUGUGUGAUGCAAGCAGUCUCAUGAAAAGGGCACUGUCUGACAAGCACAGCCACCAUUAAAACCACUAUUGUAUAAGCUCACUAUUUCCUUGAGCUCACUAUUUCCUUGUUACGUUUCGCGUAACGUAUAUUAAGACUGUAUUUAUAAGAUGCACUCUAAACUUUGCAUUAAAGAACAGCCCUGCUAC